GAAAUGCGAAAAGUAAUGUGAAUUGCAACCUGUGAAUCAUCGAAUCUUUGAACGCAAAUUGCACCCUCUGGUAAUCCGGAGGGUAUGCCUGUUUGAGUGUCUUUAGUAAUUAUUGACAUAUGCCUAUGUAAUAAUGUCAGAAUUGAGCUAUCUAUCUACGUGCCAAGAAUAGUGGCUUUAAAUAAGAUCAUGUCAUACAUAUAUCUUUACGUUAUGUAUACAUAUUUAUCAAAUUGACCUCAAAUCAGGUAAGAAUACCCGCUGAACUUAA
rnacentral:misc_RNA from 1 species